CCAAACUUAACCAGCCGACACGAGAGUGGUACAGCAAGUCGUGAUGAUCCGAAUCAGUUUCUUCGAGGAACGCGAUGAACUGACGAUGCCGAAGUCCCUUUGCGCGUAUAAAGUUGACUAGUUUUACCACUGGUUUCAUGACGUGAUAAAGCCGUUGAUGUUAACCAGAGACAUGGAGCAGGAAAUCAGCUCCUGCACUCAAUCAAGCCCCAGUUGUGUGGGAUGACGACAACACAACCGGUGAACAACACCCAUGAUAAAAGCUUGAGUCUGCAUUACACAAAAAGAGGUUAGUUGUAAGAGGUGAUUAAUUUCAUUUUCCAAGAUAUUCAGAAUGAUAACUACGCUUAUAUUUUAGCUGAGAUUUACAAGCCGCCAAGAUUCUUUGUUACUAUAAUGUUUUUGUGUUCUGCAGAAGUAAAAAAAACAACAACCAAAUUACCUAUACGUUCAUAUGUGGCAGCCCAACACAAUUACAUUUUGAAUGCAACAGAAAGAUUGGCAACUCUGUUUUUUGUUUUUUAGAUUUAGCAUUAUCCCCCUUGCUCAGAAACACAAUUACAUAACAUCGUAAUUCUGCUUCUGAACACACCUAAUACUGUAUGCCAGGGGUGGGAAGUUAUUUAGACCUCCAGGGCGUGUUUUCUAGGUCUGUUAUGAGGACGAGGCCUGCACCCUGCCCUUCUUGAUCCACUGUCCACACAUCUCUACUGAUUGAGAAUUAAGUCAAGCAGUGCUAACUACAACGAGGGCCAAAUGCCACGGGCCAUUGUGAGCUUUACGAAACAUACUGUCAUAUUAGUGACUAAAAGGUCAAUAAUGUUUUUAAGCACAAGCACUGCCGCACAAAAAUAAACCAACAUUCUUAAGUCAAUAAUUUCAAGUUGUGUUGUUAAAUACGGUUUAAAAAACAAGAGGUAAUGAUGCACAUUUCUUCUGAUACAAACCAAAACGUUAUUUUCUACCCAUCCACACACAUACAGUAAAAACUAGGGCUUGGCGUAGGCCUGGCUGUUAUAUCGAUUUUAUCAAUAUAUUUAAGUUUUUGUUGCAGACGAUUUAAUAAAUGAAAAUUUAGAUGUAUUCCUGCUUUAACGCCGGCAUACUUUUUGCCCCUCAGGAGCUUCCACACCUUGUGCCGUCUCCUUACUUCCUUAGCGGCACACAUAGCAAAACAUGGCUAAUGUUAACGUUAACGAGAGCAAGACUUUUGUUCUUAAGAAAAUAAGAGUUUUAAGUACUUUGGUUUUGCGGCAACAGGCGUGGUAAAAAGUGACUGCAUGCUGCAAAGUUUGUUCCAAAAAGGCAGCAGCACAACUAAAUUGUUCCACCAUCUGAAACCGAAACCUCCAGCCGAGUGUGGGAAAUACAAUUCUUUACGAGGCGAACACGAUGCAAAAACAAACUAACAACAGGAUAAAAAUCACCUUACUAUGGUAGAAUCAUUUCCACAAGGUAUGUAUGAUGAUGCCAUGUAUGAUGAGAAAGAGGCACAAUGUGUAGAGCAAUCACUAAAGCUGUUGCUCUGCACACCACCUAACCAAAACAAUUAGUUUUCUCAAUGUUUUACAUCAUUAUUUUUUGGAUACAAAGUAUAUCACAUUUUUAUUUAAAGAAGUAUGUUAUUCAAGACAGGAGUUUUUAGUUUGCACUUCAUUGAUCUCAAUGUUGGAGAUUGUUUAUUUGUGCAAUGUUACAUUUUUGUUAACAGAAGUAUUCGAUUCAAGCAGAACUGUUGCU